rnacentral:rRNA from 1 species
GAAAGGUUGAUCGACCACAGUGGGCCUGAAUAAAGCCCAUGACGAUUGUCACAGCAGUGAGGAAUAUUGGUCAAUAGCCUAACGGCUGAACCAGCAACUUGGAGGAAUGUAUAGCAAUAGCUACUUGCAUCAUUGUAAUAUGAUGCAAGAUCGACUAUGUCGAAUAAAAUUCUAGGUAGAAUUAUGAUAAUGACAUUGUCUGCCUAUGUGUCUUGACCAAAUUACGUGCCAGCAGUCGCGGUAAUACGUAGAAGACUAGUGUUAUUCAUGUUUAAUCGGUUUAAAGGGUACCUAGACGGUAAAUCAAGCCUAAAAGGAAAUAAAUGAAGGGACUAAUUUACUAGAGUUACUUCUGAGGGGGUAUUAAAGUACUGCUGGUGUAGAGAUGAAA